GCUUCCUACCAGUCUUCCCAGCCUCAUGUCUUGCCACACCCUCUCUUGUACUUUCUGUUCCAGCAACGCUAAAUUACAAAGUUGCCUGCCUGCAGCAUGCUGCUGUCACCCCACCUCACCCCCACCUUUCCUCUAGUUGUUACUUCUGCCUGGAUUGCCUCCUACACCUUUUAAGCCUCAGUUCAGGUACCCCUUCCUCUGGGAAGUCCUCUCUAACUAUGCCAGUCUGUGCGAGGUGACCUUUCUCCAUGUUCCCACACUCCUCUCUGCUUCCUUCUGUCAUGGCACACAAUGCAGCAUAUUGUACUUGUCUGUUUCCAUUGUGUGUCUCUCUCACAGGUCUGGGAGCAACUGGAGAGUGGAGACUCCAUCCUAUUUGUCUCUGUAUGCCAGCACCUUGCUUAGGACCUGACACAGCAAGGAAACCGGAGACAGGCACAGAGGGGGCACAAGACGGAUUACAGGAUGAGCUUUAAAUCAGGCCUGGCAGGACUCCGCGUGUAAUGGAUUCCUGUUGGCGGGAGCAGCAUUCGUGGCCCCUGUGGGUCCAGGCAGCCCCAGAGUCAUGUCACUCUGGAUCAACGACAGGUGGCAGCAGAGGACCACGUUCCAUACAGGACUGGCUGCUGAGAAGGGCGAGGUGGAGGAAGCAGCAAAGCAAGGCCACCAGAGACCUAGAGGAGAAUCAUUCUCAAAUUGCCAACGUUAAGCAGGCAGAUGGCCAAUGACGAAUGGGAGGGAAAGCAUUCAGAAAACAUUACAGUUGAGAUGUAAAGGCCAUGAAGCUCCAGUACCUUCUCCAGCUCCUCAUGGGACCUAGGCUCCAGCCCCACACCAGUCCUGCACUGCAUUGUGGACUCCACCUUUCCUGCUCUGUCCUGCAGACUUCCUCAAAGGGUGGUCUAUGAGGACCCAGUCUUCCCACAUUGGAUCAUGUGGGGCUCCCACCUGAAGCCUUUUCCAGCUACCUGGCCUACCAACCUUUCCCUAUAAGCAGGAACCAGAACUCAUCUAAAAUCUGCCCUGCCACAUGCUGUUGCCCCUGUCUUUACAAGCAAGAGCUGCACUUGGAACCCAUGGACUUGGGGGCUGAGAACUCUUCCCCAGCACCUGCUUCCCAGACUGGUUCUCCCAAAGCUUUGAGUCCAAGUCAAUUGAGAAUAGCUGCUUUCCUGAAGCUGCCCCUCUAGCUUCUCCCUUCUCUUUUGACUCAUCCAUUUUCAUACUUCUCACUCACCCCACUAAAUGCUCCAUGUCUCAUCCCCACACAGCUCCUCUCCCUCCCCCCACUGGUGAGAGUGAGACCCAAAGCCCUCAGUUCUGGGGGCUCCCCCCUUCUUCCCAUGAGGUCAUAGCAAGCUUGAUUGCAUCCAGACGGUCUGCCCCUGCUGCCUCCUGGCCCACAGCCCCUGGAGGAGCCCCGACAUCCUCUUGGCUUGGCUUCUGCACUAGUCCAGGCCCCAAUUUCCUGCCCUGCCAAUCAGGAGGAGGUGGUACCCCCCCUACCCUGAAGAGUGUGUCUCAUUUCUCCACUUCCUGCCACCCCAGGGCUAUGAUGGAUUCUUUUCCAUCAGCCAUGAUCCCUCCAGCAUUAGAUAUCCUUUUGCUGAAACCUUCUG